rnacentral:rRNA from 1 species
GACGAACGCUGGCGGCGUGCUUAACACAUGCAAGUCGAACGGAAAGGCCCUGCUUUUGUGGGGUGCUCGAGUGGCGAACGGGUGAGUAACACGUGAGUAACCUGCCCUUGACUUUGGGAUAACUUCAGGAAACUGGGGCUAAUACCGGAUAGGAGCUCCUGCUGCAUGGGGGGGGUUGGAAAGUUUCGGCGGUUGGGGAUGGACUAGCGGCUUAUCAGCUUGUUGGUGGGGUAGUGGCUUACCAAGGCUUUGACGGGUAGCCGGCCUGGGAGGGUGACCGGCCACAUUGGGACUGCGAUACGGCCCAGACUCCUACGGGAGGCAGCAGUGGGGAAUAUUGCACAAUGGGCGGAAGCCUGAUGCAGCAACGCCGCGUGCGGGAUGACGGCCUUCGGGUUGUAAACCGCUUUCGCCUGUGACGAAGCGUGAGUGACGGUAAUGGGUAAAGAAGCACCGGCUAACUACGUG